rnacentral:snRNA from 13 species
GUGCUCACUCCGGCAGCACAUAUUCUAAAAAUGGAACAAUACAGAAAAGAUUAGCAGGGCCCCUGCACAAGGAUAACACGCAAAUUUGUGAAGUGUUCCAUAUUUUU